rnacentral:lncRNA from 1 species
CUCAUGAGCAGUUUGGAGAGUGCUGUGGAACUGCCCUGCCCUUCCCCUUAGCACAUCAAUGUUUUGUUUGUCCUCUCUGUCCCCAGCUGAGAUCCUGCAGGCCAGUGACGAGCUCACGCGGGUGCUGGGGCAGUACAGGCAGGCUGUGUCCCUCGGGCAGUACGGGCAGGCUGUGUCCCUCGGGCAGUGCGGGCAGGCUGUGUCCCGCCAGGAGAACGGCGAUGGAGAGGGUUCAUCCUCCAGCUCUGCCCACGUGCCAGUGUGCCGACCAGCCCCGCGGCGCAUGAAGAGCUACACCCUGAUGGACUUCUCCGAGCUGGAGGCCACAGCCCAGCCUCCCUCAGAGCCCUUUGCAGACACAGCCUCGGCCUCCCGCCAUGGCAGCACAACCUCCACGUGCCUGCUCGAGGAGGAGUUACAGGCCUUAGGUCUGUAGCCCAGUUCAGUGCUACCCUUCUUACUGGGGUUCGUGGUGAUUCAUAAAGAGAGGAGAGCUUUGGCUUUAAUGUCAGUCCCAAGAGAAAGUAGAGCCUUUCGGUCCUAUGUUUUGAGGAAUACAGUGUCUUUAGUGGUGUUAGACUGUAGCCAAACCACGGUUAGACAGCAAAGGAAGAACCUGUGGAAAACCCUUGUAUUCUGUAAAUUAUCUGUGGCAUUUUGGCAUCUUUCUUAGGUCUGAGCAGUGACAGCCAGCACUCCGUAAUGGCUCCUUUCCUCACAAUCUGCCAUCUCCUUCUUUUUUGUGCCUGGCAGGAGGAGUGUGAACUUCUCACAGCCUUCCCCUGUAGCUGACCCCACUUUACAGGACCCUGCUGGAGAGCUCUGUCAUACACACCUUCCCUGCCACUUUAUGGGCCCAUUUGCCCUCUUCCCCCCUACUUUUUGAAUUAAAAAAAAAAGUAAAUCCACACCACCACUCAGCCCUCGUGCCAGUGUGCCUGGAGCAGGGGCUGUUCCAGGGAUGCAGGGACAUCCCCGACCCCGUUCUUCCUGGGCUCUGUGUGCGAGGUGAGGCAGGAGCGGGAUGGGCGGUGGGAACGGCACCAAAGGGAGGAUGAGGUGACGGUGCCGUGCUGGGGACCGGG